rnacentral:lncRNA from 9 species
AUGGCACAGGGCAGCCAAAAAAAAAAAAAAAAAGAAAGAAAGAAAAAAAGCCAAAAACAACUCCCUUUCUCUCUGAGUGGAGACACUGAGACCUCCAUGCUGCUCUGGGCUCUGCGUGUGCCCAGACCCUGCCGGAGACCUCUAUCAGGGCUUGGGCCCCUCCAGCCAUGGUCAAGGAGAUGGACUGCCUCUUGGUUUCCCAAAUCAAGGAAAGAGGAUUGCUUAAACUGGCAAGUUACUUUCAAGUAUACCUUAAACAAAUGUGGAGAGCCAUUUGGUCACGUAUGUGGAUGCACCCAGUGGGAUACACGGAAACAACAGACUGGGUGUACUUGGAGCAGCUGGGCGGAUCUUAAGGAUGCAGAGCUGAGCACAAAGUAAUAAGCAAAAAGAGAUAUAGGACGUGAUAGAUAUGGUCACAAUGUUGGGGGGGGGCAAAGAGGAUGGAGAAGAGCAAUAGUUAAGAUUAGAUAAGUCAUGUGGCUUGAUUUUACAAUGGGAACCCCAAGGCAACCAAGAAUUGUCAGCCUCUUAGUAAAGGACAGUAUAUUAAGAUUGUAUAUAACAUAUAUACUACAUGAUGACAUAAUGCCAUUUGCAGCAACAUGGAUGGAACUAGAGAAUCUCAUACUGAGUGAAAUGAGCCAGAAAGACAAAGACAAAUACCAUAUGAUAUCACUUAUAACUGGAAUCUAAUAUCCAGCACAAAUGAACAUCUCCUCAGAAAAGAAAAUCAUGGACUUGGAGAAGAGACUUGUGGCUGCCUGAUGGGAGGGGGAGGGAGUGGGAGGGAUCGGGAGCUUGGGCUUAUCAGAGACAACCUAGAAUAGAUUUACAAGGAGAUCCUGCUGAAUAGCAUUGAGAACUAUGUCUAGAUACUCAUGUUGCAACAGAACAAAGGGUGGGGGAAAAAUGUAAUUGUAAUGUAUACAUGUAAGGAUAACCUGACCCCCUUGCUGUACAGUGGGAAAAUAAAUUAAAAAAAAUAAAAAAAAAUUAAAAAAUUUAUCUAUCUUUCUAUCUAUCUAUCUAUCUAUCUAUCUAUCUAUCUAUCUAUCUAUCUAUGUAUCUACCUACCUACCUACCUACCUACCUAUCCAUCCAUCUAUCCUUUCUUUCACACCAGAGAAAUUUAGGUUAGGGUUAGGGUUCAGAACAUUUUCAGUCUUUUACUUAAUUUUCACAACACGUUGUGAGAAUACGAGGAAGGUGCUAUAUUUUGUCCAUUUUCACAGGUGAAAAAACUAAGGCUUAGGUUAAGUAACUUACCCAAGGUCGCACAGUGAUGAAGGGAUUUAAGUCCAAGUAUUUCAAUCCACAGGUGCUUUUUUUCUUUAUCCCCUAUUUGGCACACUUUUUCUAUGGAGAGCCAGAGAGUCAAUAUUUUAGGCUUUGUGGACCGCACAGUCUCAUCUUUUUUUAAAAAAUUGAAAUUAGUUGCCAUACAUAUGAUGGUAGUUUCAGAUGUACUACAUAGUGAUGUGACAUUUGCAUACAUUAUGAAAUAAUCACCAUGAUAAGUCUAGAAACCAUCUGCCCUCAUGCAAAGUUACUACAGUAUUGUUGACCAUACUCCUUACGCUACAUGUUACAUCCUUGUGGCUUGUUUUUUGGAUAAGUGGAGGUUUGUACCACAGUCUCUGUCUUGACUACUCAGCUCUGCUCUUGUACUGUGAAAGUGGCCAGAGACAAUAGGUGCCCGAAUGGGGAUGACUGUGUACCAGUAUAACUAACUGUAUUCCCUUUCUCCAGCCUUGUGUGGCUUCCGUAUAGACAUGCUCUCAUCAGUGUUUGGCCAAAGUCUCAAGAGUGAGCCUCUGGUGCUCUUUUUGUGCAGCUCUCUCCUCUCUGGUCCUCUGCCCUGCACACUCUCAACCACCUGCUCUCAGAAUCCCAUCCCUAUCUGCUCCACCCGGUGACUGCUAGGCUCAGCAAGGCUGCUCCUCCAGAGGCGACGCCUCAGAAGGUCUCCCCAGGCAGUGAGCUGGGUCCAUCACAUGACUCCCUUCUCUCAGGUGGAACUAUGCUCAGUGGUUAAUGUCUGAAAACCUUUGUAUAGAUUUCAUUCAGUUUUUUCAUUGUUUCAGGCAGAAAGGACAACUCUGGUCUUGUUAGUUCAUCCUGUUCAUAAGCGGAUGUCCUGGUAAACUGAUUUUUUCAAUUUCUGGUUCCGUUCCUAGGCUCCAGAUCUGUGUGCUGUAGGCUCUGAGUCCUUGCAUAUCUGCAAAUAGCUCUCUUUUCACUGUAACAGGGAAUGAUAGCUCGGCUAUUUCCUGGGUGGCUUAUUUUUUUCUUUCAGCAUUCUAUGACAUUUCCUAGUAUUCCUUCUGAUUCCUAGUGUUGCAGAAAAGAAGUCAAAUGUCAGUUCAUUUUUUCCCCUUGUAUGUGUAACUUGUUCUAAAUGUCAAGAAGCUUUCAAUAUAUUUCUUUUGGUCCUUGGAACUCAGAAUGUUUUAAAACUCACCUAUGCCUCUUUUGAUCAAUCCAGACUAGAACAUAUUAAACUCUAUUUUAAACUACAGACUCAGCCUUUCUCCAAGCCAGGGACUGUUUUCCUCUACGUCUGUAGUCACUACCUUUCCUUCAUGUACACCGUUUCCCUUCUACUGGAAAUCUUUUUUUGUUGUUUUUUGUUUUUUAGGGCCGCACCUGUAGCACAUGGAGGCUCCCAGGCUAGGGGGUGAAUCAGAGCUACAGCUGCCAGCCUCCACCACAGCCACAGCAAUGCAGGAUCCGAGUUGCAUCUGUGACCUACACCACAGCUCACAGCAAUGCUGGAUCCUUAACUCACUGAGCAAAGCCAAGAAUUGAACUCGCAACCUCAUGGUUCCUGGUCGGAUUUGUUACCACUGACGCAUGAAGGGAGCAAAGCUUUUCUUUUUUUUUUUUUUUUUGGCUGCACCUGUGACAUACAGAAGUUCCUGGGCCAGAGAUCGAAUCUGAGCCACAGCUGUGACCUACACCACAGCAGCUGUAAUGCUGGAUCCUUAACUACUGAGCCACAGUGGGAACUCCUAGUUUAUUUUUUUAAGAAAUAAAUUUUCAGCAAGCACACUUGGUGGAAAAACACAGCCUAAGCUGAUGUGAGGCUAUUUCUGGUCAUUAAAAAAUAUUAAUGUGAAUAUUCUAUGUUUUGCUGCUGAAAAAGUUUGAUUUUGGGGUACUUCCUAUAUUUCCCAGGGGAUGUAAUAUAAUAUAUACUAUAAAUUUGUAAAUAUACAUCUAAUGUAAAAAUAUGAUAUACAUAAAAUGAAUACACACAUAAAUAUACAUAUAAUCCACAUAUAAAUACAUAUGUAUAUCAUGUACAGUAUUAUUCUAAAAGCUAAAAUGAUCUAAACUGCACAAUUCUUCUGGCUUCAAUGAUUUCAGAUAAGGGAUUGUAGAUCUGUAGUCACAUCUUGCUUUCCUGGAUGUAUCUUCACUGCUAACCUUUUCCUCAGUAUUCCUCAGUCUUUGACUUUUUUUCUUUAAUUUCCAUCUCCUUCACCACAUGACUUUCUGAGCUAUGCAUCAGGUCUCCAUACUUACCAUCAUUGACUUCAGUUUCUCUAUGCUUAUCUUAAGGACUGAAAAUCAUGACUUUAUUUAUGGUACAAUUAUAAAUCUCUUUUAUGCUCUCUCUCCCCCUGUUUUUGAUAAAAAUGUUGCAUGCUCUCUCCAGAAUUCUAUUUUACAAGGAAGCUAUAAUAGUAACAGCCCUGUAUAGCAAGUUUUGUAAUAAGUCCUAUAGCAGUAAGGGUUUAGUAUGACUACAAUGAAUGGAUUUCUUCCGAUGCCCAAAUAAAUAAAAAUAGCUAUUUAAACAAGAUAGGUGUUUAUUUUCAUAUGUUGGCCCUACAGUUAUCAAGGAAUCAAGUCUUUCUAUUUUGUUGCUUUACCAUCCUUAACACUUGGCUUCUGUCUUGUGGUUGGAGGGCCAUCACAUCUGUAAUUUGGCCGAUAGAACUGAGGUACAAAAAGGAGCCAAGCAGAGAGCUUUCCCUUAAGGACAUUCCCUGGAGGUUGUACAUGUCAAUUCCGUUUCCAGUGCAUUGUUCAAAACUUAAUCAAUGACCUCACCUACCUGCAAAGCAGUCUGAGAAAUGUAGUCCAUAUUUGGGUGGUCAUGUACCCAGGUAAAAAUAUAGAAUGUGGGGAGAACGGACACUGGGAGAUUCCUGAAAGUCUCUGCCACUGUAUACUUAGUAUAUUAUUGUUUUUCUCCUACUCAUUAACUCUGUUCACCCUUUGUGUUCAGAUCAAGCUGCUGGAGUGUCUUAUACGACACCGUACUUGACUGUCUCCUAAGACAUACAUGUUCUUGGAAAAUGGUAAAAAGAAUGCAGGUAUAGUUUUGUCAUUCAUGGACAGACUAAGAAAAUAUUUAAAUUCAAAGUUUAGAAGCAGCAGAGGAUUUAAAUGAAAGUAGAAUAAAAUAGGAACAUUCAUGUGGCACUUCACAAUUUUCAAAAAAUUCUUCACAUUCUGAAUGAACACUCUUGUGCUUGAUAAUGAAAAGGACCACCAUUUAUAGAAAGCUGUAUUAGUUUUCUACUGCUACUGUGACAAAUUGCCACAAACUUAGUAGCUUAAAACAAUACUAGCUUAUUAUCUUACAGUUCUAGAGGUCAGAGCGUCAGAAAUAAGUCCCAUGGGGGAGUUCCUAUUGCGACUCAGUGGGUUAAGAACCUCAGGCAGUCUUCCCGAGGAUGUAGAUUCCAUCCCUGGCCUCGCUCAGGGGAUUAAGGAUCUGGUGUUUCUGUGAGCUGAGGCGUAGGUCAAAGAUGUGGCUUGGAUCCGCAUUGUUGUGCUGUGGUGUAGG